UCUCCCACUGAAUGUUUAUUUUAUUAUGCUUGGAGCCAAACUCUUUCACUAUAAAAGGGCUUGUUUAUCAUUCUUGUAGGGACAUCUUUUCUGAGACUUACACUAUCACAAAUUGUAUUAUUACCUCUACAAGCAAGAGUGAUCUUUCUAGUUUCUUAGAUUGAUUCUAUUUUGCUAAAUCCUAAAAUUCACUGUUCAUAAUUGAUUUGCCUAGAUUACGUUUUCUCCAAUCUAUAUUUAUACUUUUAUUUAUCCUAGCAUUCUGUAUUAAGUUGUACCAUAUAUCUUCGGAACUACGUAUAAAUUCAACUCUAUCCAUUUUUUCGGGUAAACAAAUAUAUACUGUCCGAACCAAGUAACAAAAGGGGUCUUGAUUCAACGGUAAAGGUUGUGGGUUCGCUGGAAAAGAUGGGGGUUCGAUUCCCGCUGAAAAUAGUGUUUUAUUUUAAAAUUUAGAACCCACACACUUAAAUCCCUAGCUCCGCCUCUGGUUCUCCAUGGAAGAAAGAAACGACUAGUCUUGAUCUCAGAGUAACCCUAGAAAGCAAGAGACCAGUCUAGUCAACCAUAAGGCCCUUUGGUUCCAACACCAAACAAGUAAUGAAGAGAAAUACUUACAGCUGCCUUGGCAAGCAAUUCCACUGGUGAUAGUUCAGAGGCAGCCUUGAAAGCAGACUUUAAACACAACUCUGUGUUUCACAAUUUGGGAUAAACUUGUCUACUGCUUUUUGCUGAAUGAACUCUUGAAGCAGCAAUCAUCUACUAGGAUGGAGUAUUCUUGGAGCUUUCCAACUGCUGAAUGAAAAUAUUGAGGAACCACAUAUGGCGGAGAAGAACACAAUCAGCUCAAAAUUUUCAAACAUUUAGAGAAAAGGUAAUUUCCUAUUGCGCUCAACUGUUGAAUACGAACUAAAUACGAAAUCCAUAUGACUUAGAGUCAACUCAUUAAUUGGUCUCCCUGUUCUUUUUUUUUUUUUGGGGCUAAAAACAUCCACUUGCUAUUUCAGUGAUUGAGUUUAGAAUAAUGUAUGAAUACUUCUAUCUCAUCCAUUUGAAAUCAUUAAAAGUAAACUAAAAGUUGGCAUGUGUACUGCUAUAACUUGAACUUAGUGGGAUCACCUUCCGUGAGUAAAAUACUUAUCUAGCUCAUCUUAUGAAUACCACUUCUCUCUUGAUAGUUUUCCUUAUAUCAUCUCAAUUAUUGAAGUUAUCAUCCUCUGAAAUCUUCUCUACCUUACCUUAUAAGUACAACAUCUCUCUUUUGAUAGUUCUCCUUCUCGAUUACUGAAGUUAUAAUCUUUUCAAGUUGUAUUUUGAGUCCUCUAGACAUAUUUUGUUGUUACUUACAUUUACUUUUUUUCUGACACGCAUAACAUCUGGAAUAUUUGUAAAUGCCUUUCCUUCUUUUACUUUUAGAUUUAUCAUUAUUUUUCUGUAUAUUCAGAGCUUAUAUUUUUGCUGUUUGUGGAUUAGUGUACCAUUUUGUCUUAUUUGUUUCCUAUGUUCUGUAGCCACAUGUGCAGGUAUAACUUAUCUUUUUUCCUCCCUCCCUCCCUUUUUCCCUCCCUAGAAAUACUAGCGCACAUCCAUAGUAUUGUUCAGUUCUUCUGAUGGGGUUUUAUGUCUAUAUUUUGUGCCAGUUUUAUGUCUUACGGAAUAAGAUCAUAUAUACUUCUAAAAGUAUUUACUUUCGAUAUCCUUGACACAUAAAAUUAAUUAAUGUAAUGUAUGAUAGAUACAAA